rnacentral:rRNA from 1 species
AGAGAGAGACAUGCGCGCAUAUCAAUAAGCGGAGGAAAAGAAACUAACAAGGAUUCCCCUAGUAACGGCGAGUGAAGCGGGAAGAGCUCAAAUUUGAAAUCUUAAAGGGUUUCCCUUUACGAAUUGUAGUUUAAAGAAGUGUUUUCUGUUGAGGUUUUGGUAAAAGUUCUUUGGAAUAGGACAUCAUAGAGGGUGAGAAUCCCGUAUUUGACCUUUACUUUCAACUUUGUGAUUACACUUUCAAAGAGUCGGAUUGUUUGGGAAUGCAGUCCAAAAUGGGUGGUAAAUUUCAUCUAAAGCUAAAUAUUGGCGAGAGACCGAUAGCGAACAAGUACCGUGAGGGAAAGAUGAAAAGAACUUUGAAAAGAGAGUUAAACAGUACGUGAAAUUGUCAAAAGGGAAGCGUUUGACACCAGUGUUGUUUUUCUGAAAAUCAAUUAAAGAACUGUUUAUGCUAAGUUGUUUAGACUUUAUCAGCUAACUGUUUAGUUUUGAGCUUUUCUUUAAUGCACUUUUCAGUUAACAAGUCAACAUCAAUUUCUUUUGCUGUAAAAAAGCUUGAGGAAGGUGGCUUGAGAUUCGUCUUAAGUGUUUAUAGCCUCUUGCCUAUGCAGUCGGAGAGAUUGAGGUCUGCAGCGUAGAUCCUUCGGGGCUAAAUGCAUUUGUGCUAAGUUAUAGCAUUUUAUAGACAACUUGUUGACUAUGAUUUGUCUUGUAGCUUACUCGCUUAUGUUAUUUUACCUACGCUUAGGAUGUUGAGCGCAUGUCUCUCUCU